rnacentral:rRNA from 1 species
UCGAACGCGAAAGUUUCCUUCGGGAAACAAGUAGAGUGGCGCACGGGUGAGAAACACGUAGGUAAUCUACCUUCGGAUGGGGAAUAACAACCGGAAACGGUUGCUAAUACCGCAUAAUGCAGCGGCACCUAAUGGUGACAGUUGUUAAAGCGGGGGAUCGAAAGACCUCGCGUCUGAAGAGGAGCCUGCGGCGGAUUAGCUAGUUGGUAAGGUAACGGCUUACCAAGGCGACGAUCCGUAGCCGGCCUGAGAGGGCGGUCGGCCACACUGACACUGACAUACGGGUCAGACUCCUACGGGAGGCAGCAGUCGGGAAUUUUGGGCAAUGGGCGAAAGCCUGACCCAGCAACGCCGCGUGAAGGAUGAAAUCCCUCGGGAUGUAAACUUCGCAAGAACGGGAAGAAUAAGUAGGGGACAAUACCCCCUAUGAUGACGGUACCGUUUGUAAGCUCCGGCUAACUCCGUGCCAGCAGCCGCGGUAAUACGGGGGGAGCAAGCGUUGUUCGGAUUUACUGGGCGUAAAGGGCGCGUAGGCGGCCAGCGCAAGUCAGUUGUGAAAUCUCCGAGCUUAACUCGGAAAGGUCAACUGAUACUGCGCGGCUAGAGUGCGGAAGGGGCAACUGGAAUUCUCGGUGUAGCGGUGAAAUGCGUAGAUAUCGAGAGGAACACCUGCGGCGAAGGCGGGUUGCUGGGCCGACACUGACGCUGAGGCGCGAAAGCUAGGGGAGCGAACGGGAU